GUCCCCAUCGUCUAGAGGCCUAGGACAUCGCCCUUUCACGGCGGUAACGGGGGUUCGAAUCCCCCUGGGGACG
rfam:Legionella lansingensis strain ATCC 49751 Llan_ctg012, whole genome shotgun sequence.